GGAUGAACGCUGGCGGCGUGCCUAAUACAUGCAAGUCGAGCGAACGGACGAGAAGCUUGCUUCUCUGAUGUUAGCGGCGGACGGGUGAGUAACACGUGGAUAACCUACCUAUAAGACUGGGAUAACUUCGGGAAACCGGAGCUAAUACCGGAUAAUAUUUUGAACCGCAUGGUUCAAAAGUGAAAGACGGUCUUGCUGUCACUUAUAGAUGGAUCCGCGCUGCAUUAGCUAGUUGGUAAGGUAACGGCUUACCAAGGCAACGUUGCAUAGCCGACCUGAGAGGGUGAUCGGCCACACUGGAACUGAGACACGGUCCAGACUCCUACGGGAGGCAGCAGUAGGGAAUCUUCCGCAAUGGGCGAAAGCCUGACGGAUCAACGCCGCGUGAGUGAUGAAGGUCUUCGGAUCGUAAAACUCUGUUAUUAGGGAAGAACAUAUGUGUAAGUAACUGUGCACAUCUUGACGGUACCUAAUCAGAAAGCCACGGCUAACUACGUG
rnacentral:rRNA from 1 species